rnacentral:rRNA from 1 species
UACGAGUGCCCCGAGCGUUAUCCGGAAUUAUUGGGCGUAAAGGGUGUGUAGGUGGCAGUGUUAGUCGUCCGUCAAAGCUCCCGGCCCAACCGGGAAAAGGCGAACGAAACGGCACCGCUAGAAUAUGCGAGAGGUUGAUGGAACUCAUGGUGUAGGGGUGAAAUCCGUUAAUAUCAUGGGGAACACCGAAGGCGAAGGCAGUCAACUGGCGCAUUAUUGACACUGAAACACGAAAGCGUGGGUAGCGAAUGGG